GGCAGUGAAUUAGGGACGAGUGUGGUCGCACCACGUGGCCUGCUGGCUUGGAAGGACAAGAUGGCGUUCUGCUUCUGUCUAUUCCGUUGGAAGCAGGAAGGUUUGUACAUAAGCAAAGAAACGUCCUGAGUGAGGUGCUUGUUUAACGUUAGCAGCUGAUGGCUUGCGCUUACCUACGACCGGUUUCUACGCUGACUGCAAAAGGCGCUGGUAAACGUUUGCAAUGGAAUGGGUACCGUCUCAAGUUACUGUUGAAGAUUAUACAGCAGGAGGCCACUUCACAAAUCUCAAGCUGUACUUUAGGUCAAGUUAUCAUUGUGCUUUAUUACCUUCUUUCUUUUUUAAAUGUGUGUGACUAGUGCCUCGAUGUAAUUAAAGAAAUCUUCCUAGUUUUGUUAAGAACCUUCUGAGUUGCUAAGUGCCGCCGGUCAGUAAUGUUAAGUGUUUUUUUUUUAUUUGAGUAAAACAAGUCAGGAUUUGGUAUCUCGUUAUAAAUAAUCCUUUUAAAUACUCUAAGUACCAAUAUAUGUUUCUUAAUUGAUGUCAAUAAACGAUUUCUGAAUCU